UUUUUUUUUGUAACUGGGCCACCAAUUCAAGAAUAUGCAGUAUUUUGGCUUAUGAAAACAGUAACUUUCACACAAUUUACAAGAGAGCAUCGUUUAUAGUAAGAAAUAUUAUCAAGGAACUUAUCAGUUUCAAGUCCAUAUUUACUACUCCCACCGUUUCAUAUUAGUUGUCGCUCAAACGGGUGUAUCUAGCACUGAAAUACGUCUAGAUACAUCCGUUUCAGCGAAAACUACUACGGAAUGAGGGAGUAUAAGAAAGGGUUACUCAGAAAUGGCUUGAUAAUAUCUAGGAGUAGCACUGAAGGGAGUAUAACAAAAGUUUCCCAAGAUAUGAUAAUACAGAAAAAGUGAACAAGCAACAGAUGCAUAAGGAAGGAAAUACAGGGUGAAUCAGAGAAAAUACCAUUCCGCAUCCUGCAUUCUCAUAUUAUUUGGCCUCUCUAUGAUCACCAAACCAUUGAUUACAACAAAACGGACCCGCUUUUCUUCCUGCACUACAAGUUCAGGAAACUUGGUCUUUGUUGCAUUAGAAGUAGCCAGCUCCCUCCUCCUGAAGCUACAAUUUCCUGCCACAUAACACCAAAGGAGACUCGGAUGAGAAGAACAAAUAACCAGAGUAGAGUGGGCGCGACCAAAUACAAAUUUCCAUUCACUAAUCAUCAUCAUACCUUUCUUGGGAAACUUUUGGGUCAGCUUCCUGUACAAGCCGCCGGCAGCUUCAAGAGCUACCCCAAUAGUUUUCUCACGGGAUCCGGUCAAGGAAGCAAGACGUGCAUUGACGUCGCUCACCAAAGACUCGUACAAGUUGGCUAUGUACAUCAAGGGCAAAGCAAACCUCGGGUCGCCUUCGUAUUGCACCUCUUGUUGCUUUCUUUUGUUGAUUCUAUUGCUGGCCAGGAUAGAGUCAUAGAGAGAGGGUUCUUCCACCUCAAUAACAUUCUGGCCAAUAAAAUGGUCAAUGAUGAUGUCCAGGAACCUAGACCGUGCCACUUCGAUGGGCACAACAUCUGUAAUGAAGAGGGGAAUCAGGCACAGAGAAAGCAGUAACAGCAGACAGAGCAGGAUGAAUUUCGAAGAGUUGUACCUUGUGGUGUUAGGAUAUUAAUAUGACUAGGAGGCCUGCUGCUGUUCUCAAGAGCCGAGUGCUCGUCGUCAACUCUGACACCGUGGAGGCUUAAAGAGCUGCUGUAUGAUCCAUGCAAGCAAUCCUAGCAGAUAAAGCAACGGUCAACACUCAAAACCACGACGUUGUGUUUUGUUACAAGAAACAUGCUGUUCUGGGGCAUUUAAAGGAUAUGCAUCCAUUUUUGGUCGGUCGAAGUAACUGCCAACAGUCAAUCUUGAAAAAUAAAUAAAUACACAGAAUGUUUUAAUUUCACAAAACAACACAUUCCUACCUCCGCAUGUUUGGCCGGUCAAAGUAAAUGCCAACUGUCUACCUUGAAAAAUACAAAAUGACACUUCCCUACCGCCCCAUUCCACAAAACCAAAGGCAAAAUUUCUGGCACGGAAACCUUGUACUUAUGUGCAUUUAAAUACACAGCAUUUUUCGAAGUAAAUGCCCAGCAAUGAACAGAGCCUUUUUUACUUUGUCAUUAUGCAUUCAGGUUCACAUGCUGGUUAUUACAAUGAAACACAUGGUAAAAAUGGACAAAUCCUAACAAGAAAAGCAUAGCUUGUAGCACUACAAAUCCAACCCCAGGCUCACUAGAGGUUGAAGCCAAUCUGCUCUGCUCCGGGCAACACUGGGUUUCACCACCGAUUGGAACGAGCUAACCAGCCAUGGGUUCAGUGGAGGGGGGGAGGUUACCACGGAGUUGGAGUCGCCGCCGCCGACGAGGCUGUCCUCCUCGGUGAGGGCCUCGGGGUCGACGUCGCCGUCGCCGAGGAAGACUGCCCCGGCCCCGGCGCCGGCGGAGUAUGCCCGCAUCGCCGCCGGCCGAAACCCUAGGUGGAUUUAGAGCCUGACGCCCGGCGCCAGCGCCAGCACCAGCAUGGCGACGGGGGCUGGCUGGUUUCCCCCUAAAAGAGCAUCUUUUUCUUACGCCCGCCGGCGGUUUCCCCUAGGUAGGAUAUGCUCGAGCUGGGAGCGGGCCGUGGGGCGGCGGCCGGCGGCGGCGCCGGAUUCGCUUUGGGAAGGGGCGGCGUGGGUGUGGGGGUCGAAGGGGGGUUUGGUUGGUGGAGUAGCAGAGUAUUGUUUGCUCUGCUCUGCCUCACUACCGGACUGCUGACAGAACAUGACACACAUUUUGACAGUGCAGUGCAAACAUCUACUACUUCUAGGAUCUCCAUCAAGAUUAACAUAAGCACAUUGUUUGAUCUGCUUCACUUUGCUCCAUCAUAGAACACAUGUGCAUACAAUCUCAUCAUUAUCAGCCUGAGCUCUGAAUAAGGUUCAUUCAGCACAACAUAAUACAGAAACUUGACAGUGCAAUGAAGCCAUCCAAUAAGUAUUAGUAUUAUUAUCCCCAAUUCCCUAUUGUUCAUUUCAUUUGAUCAAGCAAGGCAAGCCUGCCAUUGUUAUUUACAUGUUCAGUUGAGAGCUCCUGGCAUCUCAAGUUCAGAUAUCAGAGCUUCUGUUCUGAAGCAGCAACAGACGUCCUCUGUUUUGUGCAGAGCCCAGUUCAUCCGUUCAUACAUACAUCAUUUUACACACAAGUAAAUGCAUACACAGAGAGGAACAACACAGGCAACUGGAAGGCCUGCACUACACGCUGAGCUCGGUCCUCGAGACGAGGAUACCGUCGGCGUCGGCGUAGAGCCACUCGCCGUCGCAGAUCCUGGUACCAGCAACGGUGACCGGGACGUGCUUCUCGCCCAUCCCCCUCUUGUCCGACUUCAUCGGGUGCGAGCCGAGAGCCCGCACGCCGAUGUCGCACUCGUUGAUCUCAUCAACAUCCCGGACGCAGCCGUUGAUCACGAUGCCGGCCCACCCGUUGUUCUGCGCCAGCAUGGCGAUGUUGCCCCCCAGGAGGGCGCGGCGGAGGCUGCCGCCGCCGUCGACCACCAGGACCCUGCCCUGGCCCUUCUCCUCCAGGAGCGCACGGACCAGGACGUUGUCCUCGAACACCUUCACUGUCACGACGGGACCGGCGAAGAGCCGCCGGCCACCGUAGACCCUGAAGACGGGCUGCAGCGCGCGGAGCUCGCCGCUGGUGAUCAUGUGUGAGUUUGCGUCGCAGACCUCCGCGGUGGCCAGUGGCAAGGCCGCCAUUUUGGGUUCAGCAGGGCUGCUGCACGAGCGCUGUCAGCACCUUUUCGAGAAAAACAAGUGUUGUCAGCAGGAGUAAUAAAGCUGCUCAUUCAAUCUGCAUAACAGCAACAGGUUCUCCAAAGAUAUGCAUGCAAAUCAUGCACUUGAGCUUAUAAUACUGCAAUAAGGAAGACAUAUUGUUCAGUUAUAUGUGGCUUAACAGUUGCAUAGAUCUCAGGCGGAUGAAAUGCUGGGACUCCAUUUAGGAAACAAACAUGAUGAAAUUUUCCAUGAAACACAAGAAUCACCAAGUCAGCCUCAUUUGAUGAGACGUUCACGUUUUGACAGAAGAAAGGUAACCAACCACUCUUACCGGCAAAGCCGUGAGGAGGCAAUGUUGACAGCGAAAAACAGACUCCAGGGAGCUUCAGUUAGUUGGUCGCCGCCGGUGGGAGGCAAGGCAUCAGGUAGCGGUGAGUUCUUAGUGCGUGCCAUGCCAUCAGAUAGGAAUACCCAUCUGCUGUAUAGGUGUUUUGUCAGUAAUGAUGCUAUUUGAAUAUGCUGGAGUAGCCAGAUGGAAUAGGAUUACAGUUAAUUUCAGACAGUUGCCUUCAGCAAGGAAACAUUUUUUGCCUCUACGUGGAGGCAGACAAAUUUGGCGGUGCAUAUAAAUGACUACCCAAAGUUUGGCUUGCCUUGAGUUUAAGAUUCAGAGUAAUUAGUAGUGUAGAUGCAGAGAGGACAUUGACAAGAGUAAGGAAGGAGCAUGUAGUCGCGCUGCGCGCUUACCGGAGUGGCCACCGGCGUCGGCGUACGGCUCGAGCGAAAGCAGCGCCUUCCCGGUCGCGCGUGCCUCCCUCGUCUGCUCCAGUCGCGGGCGGUCGUCUCCCUCCGGCGGCGCCAGGAAAGGCAGACUAGCCCCUCGACCGCGGCGUCGCGACGGUGGGAGACUGGCGGGGCAGUAGAGGCUUGAAGUGAGGGAGGGAUGAAUCAGCGCGGCGGCGGAGGAGGAGGAGGUGCCCCGGCCGGCGAGCGUGGCUCCGGUCUGCGGUUGGUUCGAGCAGAGCAGAGCAAGAAGAGGAGACAGGGUGGAGCUCUGCUCUAUCAUUAUCGUGUGGUUUUUCCUUUCUUUUCUUUUCUUUUUCUUUUUAUUGAGUAAAUUGAUUGAUAAAUGGUAUGCCAUGCCACUUUAAUAAUAAUAAUAAUAAUAAUAUAGGGCAAAGAGAAGAUAUUUUUUGUGGGGGCAAAGAGAAGAUAGAGACACCGGUGUAUUGCCAACGUCGUCGAACCAUAUCAAAAAUUCGAGACCAAGAGAUUGGCAAAAACGUCGUUCAAGGACUCAAAUGCGCAACACGACGAGGAUCACCGUUGACGCCCGGGAAAAGAAUGGAAAAGAAAACCACUAAUAAGGAGCUUAUCUCACUCACGCCGUACAGACCAGUCUCAACGACCACAAAAGCCCAAGGUCGAAGGGCAUCGCGCAACCGAGUCCACAAAACGGCACCGGUGUGCCGGCAACAUAGGCAAAGAGUUAUAUAUAAUCGGGGACACAAUCAAGUUGAUGAAUAAAAGUUCAUGCCCACAAGUUCAAAAUCAUACCCAUAAGUUCAUCCAACCAAGUUCAAAUGCAAACUAAAGUUCAAGACAUGAAAGACACAUCAAUCUUCAUCUUCCUCGUCUUCGUCUUCGUCCUCAUCUUUCGAAGACGACUCUUCCGCCUCCGAAGAUGAAUCUUCCUCCCUCUCCGCAUCAUGUGAAGCUCCGACGGUGUUGGCAAGAUCUUCAACAGCAUCUUCAUGGGAAUGUGUGUGACAUCGAAAGACAUUGCACCCAUGGCGGCCGGAGGUGCACCCAUGCCUCCCAUGACGGCCGAAGGUGCACCCAUGCCUCCCAUGGCGGCCAUAGCGUCGGAGGGUGCUCCAAAGCCACCCAUGCCUCCCAUGACGGCCAAAGGUGCACCCAUGCCUCCCAUGGCGGCCGGAGGUGCACCCAUGCCUCCCAUGACGGCCGAAGGUGCACCCAUGCCUCCCAUGGCGGCCGGAGGUGCACCCAUGCCUCCCAUGCCGGCCGGAGGUGCACCCAUGCCUCCCAUGACGGCCGGAGGUGCACCCAUAUCUCCCAUGGCUCCGAAGCCACCCAUGCCUCCCAUGGCGCCGAGGCCACCGCCACCCAUUGCACGAACCAGGGCUCUUUUUUGGAUUAAGACUUUUUGUUGGGCAAGAUUGACAUACUCUUUUUGCGCCGCAUUGAGUUUAGAUGUGUCCAAGAAGAAUAAGUGCUUCUCCCAUUCCAACAACUUAGCUCGCUCCUCGUUGCUCACUUUCCUCUCCUCCAUGUAGCUGGCGCCCGAAAUACGCCGCGCGGGUAAGUGUUUUCAACCGCGCACCCAACCCGUUAUAGCGCGCGCGCCGUUUUUGCGCGCUCGCUGGAGCGACCCGCCGCGUUGCACGCGCGCUAAAACGGCCUAAUUUGCGGCGCGUAGCUAGUUUAGCGUGGCUGUUGGAGAUGCUCUUACAACGGAAUGCAACGGAGGAAGUAACUCUCAUCGGUCCAAGUAAGUUUCAUUCAGCGGAAUGCAGGCACCCAAUUGGCUUUAUUAUUAUGCCCGUUCUUCAUUUCAUUUGAUUAAGCAAGACAAGCUUAUCAUUAUUACAAAUACUCACCAUAUAAUAAAAUUUUAAAAAUGUUCACUGUAUAUUAAAAAAAUGUUCAUUUCAAUUUUUUAAAUGUUCACCGUAUAUUACAAAAAAACUUGAUAUUGGUUGCUUUGCUCCACUGAAAAACACCAGUACAUUUUGGCCAGCCCGAGUAAGUUUCAUUCAGUGCAAUGGAGGCAUCCAACUGCUUACCUUUAUUACAAGUUCAGUUCAUAGCUCCUGAAUCUCAGGUUCAGAUCUAAGACCAUUCAGUUCAGAGCUGAGCCCUCCUUACCAAGGUACGAGACCUUUGCAACCAGUACGAGAGAUAUAUCACUCGCACACGUCGCCGGACAGCACAGACUGGCUCAUCUAGGUGGCCGGAGGGGGAUGUUGGUGAUGGACGGCGCCAUGGACGACAUACGCAUCACACAGCGAGGAACACAAUGAUGUUGUGCCUGUUCAUGCUCUUGGUCUUGGCAAGGCUCCGAACUGCCCUUGAACCACCGGUCCCCUCUCCGGCGUGCCCCCGCCAACGGGCGCUUCAGGCAGGAUGGGAGCGCCGGCGUACUCCGCUUCGGCAACCUCGCGCACCACCAAAUGGCCGAUCUGCAGUUUCGGCACGCAUGCCAGCUGGUAAGGACGAGAGAAUAUGGAGAACAGAAACCACAGAGGCAGCAACAGCAUUACAACAUGACAAUUAUUACAGGCUUCUGAAUCUGAAGUUCAGAUACAACAUGAUUCAAUAAGGGAGGGCAGAGGCAGCAACAGCAAGCACCCUCCUCUCUUAUGCAGAGCCCAGUUCAUCCAUCAUGUUACAGACAAGCAAAUACAACCACAGAGUGGAACAACACGACCAACGAGGCGUCAGCCUCUCC
rnacentral:lncRNA from 1 species